CCUCUCAUAGCUCAGUUGGAAGAGCGAAGCAUUGUAAUCCUCCGAGCCCGUAUACAACGGGCCAAUUUGCCGCCUGCUUAGGUCGCCCGUUCGAUCCGGGCUGAGAGGA